rnacentral:rRNA from 1 species
GACGAACGCUGGCGGUGUGCUUAACACAUGCAAGUCGAACGGAAAGGCCCUGAUUUUUUGGGGUGCUCGAGUGGCGAACGGGUGAGUAACACGUGAGUAACCUGCUCUUCACUUUCGGAUAACUUCAGGAAACUGGGGUUACUACCGGAUAGGAGCUCCUGUUCCAUGGUGGGGGUUGGAUAGUUGCGGCGGUUGGGGAUGGACUCGCGGCUUAUCAGCUUGUUGGUGGGGUAGUGGCUUACCAAGGCUUUGACGGGUAGCCGGCCUGAGAGGGUGACCGGCCACAUUGGGACUGAGAUACGGCCCAGACUCCUACGGGAGACAGCGGUGGGGAAUAUUGCACAAUGGGCGGAAGCCUGAUGCAGCAACGCCGCGUGCGGGAUGACGGCCUUCGGGUUGUAAACCGCUUUCGCCUGUGACGAAGCGUGAGUGACGGUAAUGGGUAAAGAAGCACCGGCUAACUACGUG